GGCGGCUGGAUCUCCGCGAACGUGGUCAUCACGGCGGCGGGCAGCUGCAUCUCCGUGGGGAUCAGGUGCUGCCCGCGGCUGCUCUUCUCGUUCUGUGCCCAAGUGACCGACUUGCCGUUGGAGCUGCGGAAAGAAGGACCUUGAAAUGAGGAAGCAGAUGGACAGAAGGAAGGAUGCUAAGCAUGAGCAGAAUCUUCACAAGC